AGCAGACUACUGCAAGUCUGCUGUGACUUUGUCAUUCAAAAUAAAUAACUAAAUUUAGUGUUUUUAAUUAAAAAAUGAGCCUUUGAACGUACAGAAAGUAGGAUGCUAGGGGAAGGCGUACAAUUAACUGGGUAAAGGGGGUCACAUUUUCUGUAUGUGUCUGAGCACAAUAAACAGAGAUAGGCACAUGUGCCUAUGUGUGCCUGUACCAUUUUGUGUUUGAGUUUUUGUUUUUCUGUUAACUCUGUCAGUUUCACAAAGAAUUAUACACCCCGUUUACUGGAGAUUCCAAUGUAUAUUGCUGGGGGGAAAAAAAAAAAGUAAUUUCUUAGUGCAGCCCAUGUUUUAGCAAUUAUAUUCCUUUCUCUCUUUUUUCUUGCUUUUCUGUAUUUGAGGGGGGAAAGGGGGGGGAGAGGGGUGAGGAGGCAGAUGAGUAUCAGAUAAAGGCAGUCACCCCCCAUUGUGAUCCCCAGGGUGUGAGUGCAACUGGGAACCAGUGUGGGGCAGCCAGCAAUGAUGCAUCACCAGCCUUAUUCCUAAAGCAUGCUUUGUAGUAGGAAAAGCUUGUAGGAGUGCAUUUACUGUACAAGACUGACUGAAGGAAGGAGUAGGUUUAAAACUGACUAGCAAGCAUCUGGUGUUCAGAGAGGAAUAUACUUGUGACUGUUUCUAAGAACUGAAGAGGUUACCGAUGACAGAAAACUAUGAACUGCGUGGACAUAAUAUGCUAUUUUGCCUACUAAUCCAAGUAUACAUGGACGUGCUCAAAUCUGAUCUCUCCUCUCCUAGACCUACUACAUAUAAGAAGUAUUCAAGUGGUGCUUCUAGGAUGCCAGAUGUGCUUCCUCCUAGGAGGAUAGAUCCAGGAAUGCAUGGGUUUACUCCAAGGAGACCAAGACAUAUGCAGCUGCAAAAGGAUUUCAAGAUCCACUCCUGUGCACUAGAGUCCUGAUUGCUGGGUGAAAGGGACAGGCAUGCAGCUACACCAUGGUCCAGCAGACACAGCCCAGGAGUCCACAGUAAGUGAUUCUGCAGGGGCUCUAGAAACACAAGCAGCUGCUGAGGGUCCUCCAGAGGAUGAAGAAAAAUCCUGAGAUGCUGAAGGAAGCUUUGAUGCAGAGGAUCUGCUGAUGGAUGCAUUAAUACAAGUGGAAAUAAGGCCUGUUAAAUCUUGCCUGAGCAGUUUUGAGCAGCCUUGGGAUGGACCAACAAAGAGGAAGCAGGACAGAGUCCCUCAGGCUGAGCCUUCAAGUCAGAUUGCAAGUGAUGGAUGGCUGACAGAUGAAGCUGCAAGAGAGACUUUUCCCUGUGGGGCCACCAACAGCACAGGCAGACCCUGCAUCUUCUCCAGCCUCCAUCUACAGCUGUGUUCCACCAAAGCUGUCCAGGUCGGAACUUCUCCCUCCAUGGCAAUGCAGGUAAAGGUGGGAGAAUUCCACAACUCUCCAAACCACCCCACCACUCUGGUCUACAGCCACAUUGCACAGAGAAGUAAGGUCCUUCCAAGCCACGUGAAGUUAAUGUGGUGUCAGACAUGUCUGUGCUCAGGGCAUAAGAAGCCUUUGUGGACUCGUCUCCAGGAGGAGCAGCCCUACCCCAUGGGGUCUGCCUGCCAUGAAG
ensembl:lncRNA